rnacentral:misc_RNA from 1 species
UCAAACUUGGUCAUUUAGAGGAAGUAAAAGUCGUAACAAGGUUUCCGUAGGUGAACCUGCGGAAGGAUCAUUAACGAGUUUUAAUUGUUUAGGUUAGAGUUGAGCUGGUUAAUCCAAUUAAUAUGUGCUCACUCUAAUUAAACAAGUCCACUCAUUGCUUAACACUUGUGAACUUAUUCAUUACAAACAUUAUUAUUUGUCAUUGGAACGUUUGAUUAUUAAAAGUUAAUACAACUUUCAACAACGGAUCUCUUGGCUCUCGCAUCGAUGAAGAACGCAGC